rnacentral:rRNA from 1 species
GGGUUGUGAGGUUAAGCGACUAAGCGUACACGGUGGAUGCCCUGGCAGUCAGAGGCGAUGAAGGACGUGCUAAUCUGCGAUAAGCGCCGGUAAGGUGAUAUGAACCGUUAUAACCGGCGAUUUCCGAAUGGGGAAACCCAGUGUGACUCGUCACACUAUCAUUAACUGAAUCCAUAGGUUAAUGAGGCGAACCGGGGGAACUGAAACAUCUAAGUACCCCGAGGAAAAGAAAUCAACCGAGAUUCCCCCAGUAGCGGCGAGCGAACGGGGAGGAGCCCAGAGCCUGAAUCAGCAUGUGUGUUAGUGGAAGCGUCUGGAAAGGCGCGCGAUACAGGGUGACAGCCCCGUACACAAAAGCGCAUGUGCUGUGAGCUCGAUGAGUAGGGCGGGACACGUGGUAUCCUGUCUGAAUAUGGGGGGACCAUCCUCCAAGGCUAAAUACUCCUGACUGACCGAUAGUGAACCAGUACCGUGAGGGAAAGGCGAAAAGAACCCCGGCGAGGGGAGUGAAAAAGAACCUGAAACCGUGUACGUACAAGCAGUGGGAGCACAGGUUUACCUGUGUGACUGCGUACCUUUUGUAUAAUGGGUCA